rnacentral:rRNA from 1 species
UACAGAGGGUGCGAGCGUUAAUCGGAAUUACUGGGCGUAAAGGGUGCGUAGGUGGUUUUGUAAGUUAGAUGUGAAAUUCCUGGGCUUAACCUGGGGACUGCGUCUGAUACUGCGAAGCUAGAGUACUGUAGAGGGAAGUGGAAUUUCCGGUGUAGCAGUGAAAUGCGUAGAUAUCGGAAGGAACAUCAGUGGCGAAGGCGACUUCCUGGACAGAUACUGACACUGAGGCACGAAAGCGUGGGGAGCAAACAGGAUUAGAUACCCCCGUAGUCC